rnacentral:rRNA from 2 species
GGACUACUAGGGUUUCUAAUCCUGUUCGCUCCCCACGCUUUCGCGCCUCAGCGUCAGUAUGAUGCCAGGUGACUGCCUUCGCCAUUGACGUUCCUUCCGAUCUCUACGCAUUUCACCGCUACACCGGAAAUUCCAUCACCCUCUCAUCUACUCCAGUCGAGUCGUUUGCGAUGCACUUCCCAGGUUAAGCCCGGGGCUUUCACAUCACACUCACUCAACCGCCUACGCGCCCUUUACGCCCAGUAACUCCGAUUAACGCUCGCACCCUCUGUAUUACCGCGGCUGCUGGCAC